ensembl:lncRNA
UUUGUGCAGAUUCUUGGUGUACGCAUGGUUUUAUACAUCUGAAAACUUUUGUGCAUACGAAAAUCUAGCUUUUGUGCCUACGUAUACUUUUAGGAUGAAAUAUACGGAGAGUUUUAUAAAUGAGACCCCAGGUCUGUUCUCCUAAAAAAUAUUUGGAUCAUCUUUAAGGAGCAUCAUCAUGAUGUUUUGUCUGAACUCUAAAUGCUAGGCUAUGGCAACACACACAUGCUGAAUCUUUUUGAAAACCUCUUGUAGAUAAGUCUUCAAAGUUUAUGGUGUAAAGGCAUUUCUACUUCUUCAGCUUCCGUAUUUUUUUUUUUGUUUCCUUUCCAGCUGUGUUGCAGACAUAAAUCUCGGCUUUUUGCUUCUGAAAGCACACAUUUAGCAAUACAGUGUUGUGUGGAGCUAUAGAGUAAAGGCCAACUUUGUUCCCCCUUUGAGAGUAAAAUGGGGGGUUGACCUGUUGGGGCAGGUACAAGUCUAUUUAUGAGCCCCCAACAUUCUUCAGAGGUCUAAAAUGAAGCUUUACUAGUUUCUCUCGGUUUCCUUAGCCCACCACGGCCCGUCUUGAUCUGCAAAGCAAGCCUAAGGCAAGAGCUGUGACUGUUGCCUGAAAGUCUGCUGAGGAAUAAUCAAUGACAGGCCUGUUUCCUCAAUACCAUGCCUGACACUUUGUCAAAGAGAAUAGCUCAUAUCUCUGAUCCACACAUGUGAUCUACAGUAUAUGCCAAAUGAGAUUUGAUUUCUCAGACAGUUGAACUUGUGGGAGGUACCACUUUAUUUUAAUGCUAGCCGAGUGCUUGAUGGAGCCUGAAUAAUCAGUGUUGUUGUUUUGUUUACUGAACAUAUUGCAUUGUUUUUGGACAGAGAAGAAUUAAGGGUAUUGCAAUGGGUUUGUGUGCCAAGAAAAGCAGAUAGAAGAACCUACAAGUCUCUUUAAAUGUGUGCAACUCUAAUUUUAAACUCAGUUCCAAUGAUUUUUAUUAUUGUCAUAAUUGAAUGUAUGAAGUUGAGUAGAAGUGGAAAUGGAUGUAAUGAAACAGAUCAUUAUAUUUUAUUUAUUUAAUUAUGUAUGCAAUGCAUUUAAAGCAUAUUUUAAACAUCAAUGUUCAAUCUAAUGUUAAGGCAGUUCUGAAGGCUAAAGGGGGUCCAACCCGAUACUAGCAAGGUGUACCUAAUAAUGUGGCCAGUGAGUGUAUAUGGGUGGUAAAAUAUGAUCUAGACUUGUUCUUGGCAGGCUUUCACCCAAUUAGAUGAUAAAUCAUGGCUGGUACAAACUCUCCGUACCCCAAUACCCAGAUACUUGAAGACAAAUGUGUAUCACCCGGCUUAUAGAGAAGUCACAGAUUACCUUGUUUCCUGCCCUAAACUGGAGCUGAAAGGACCCCAGCUGAAGUGCCAAAGUUAUUCUUGAACUGAAUCGUUGAGAAAGGACAAGAACUACACGGCACUUCUCAUUGUACUUGUCUGUCUUUUCUGGUCUAUUUCCAUGUUUCCAUGGACUCCAGUCUGCUGGGGCUUCA